rnacentral:rRNA from 1 species
AACGAACGCUGGCGGCAGGCCUAACACAUGCAAGUCGAACGCUGUAGCAAUACAGAGUGGCAGACGGGUGAGUAACACGUGGGAACGUACCUUUCGGUUCGGAAUAACUCAGGGAAACUUGAGCUAAUACCGGAUACGUGCGAGAGCAGAAAGAUUUAUCGCCGAAAGAUCGGCCCGCGUCCGAUUAGCUAGUUGGUGAGGUAAUGGCUCACCAAGGCGACGAUCGGUAGCUGGUCUGAGAGGAUGAUCAGCCACACUGGGACUGAGACACGGCCCAGACUCCUACGGGAGGCAGCAGUGGGGAAUAUUGGACAAUGGGCGAAAGCCUGAUCCAGCCAUGCCGCGUGAGUGAUGACGGCCUUAGGGUUGUAAAGCUCUUUCGCCAGGGACGAUAAUGACGGUACCUGGAUAAGAAGCCCCGGCUAACUUCGUG